UUGAAGUUGAGUUUGCGUCUA
rnacentral:siRNA from 1 species